AGAGUUUGAUUCUGGCUCAGAACGAACGCUGGCAGCGUGGAUUAGGCAUGCAAGUCGAACGUGAAGCCCUUAUCUCAAUCUUCGGAGAGAAAUGAGGGUGGAAAGUGGCGGAAGGGUGAGGAACGCGUGGGUAAUCUGCCCCUUAGUUGGGAAUAACUCGCCGAAAGGCGGGCUAAUACCGAAUAUGGUGGUGGUUCGCAUGGACAAUUGAUCAAAGGUGGGGAUCCUUCGGGACCUGCCGCUAGGGGAUGAGCCCGCGUCCCAUCAGCUUGUUGGAGAGGUAACGGCUCACCAAGGCUUACGGGUAGCUGGUCUGAGAGGAUGGUCAGCCACACUGGGACUGAGACACUGCCCAGACUCUUACGGGAGGCUGCAGUCGAGGAUCAUUCGCAAUGCGCGAAAGCGUGACGAUGCGACGCUGCGUGGAGGAUGACGGCCCUAGGGUUGUAAACUCCUGUCAUGAGGGAAAAGUUAUCUAUUCUUUAAUAGAGAUUAGAUUCGAUGGUACCUCAAGAGGAAGCCACGGCUAACUCUGUGCCAGCAGCCGCGGUAAUACAGAGGUGGCGAGCGUUGUUCGGAUUUACUGGGCGUAAAGCGUACGUAGGCGGUACCGUAUGUCGGAUGUGAAAGCCCACGGCUCAACCGUGGAAGUGCAUCCGAAACUGCGGAACUAGAGUGCAGGAGGGGAGAGCGGAAUUCUUGGUGUAGCGGUGAAAUGCGUUGAUAUCAAGAAGAACACCGGCGGCGAAGGCGGCUCUCUGGAAUGUGUCUGACGCUGAGGUACGAAAGCUGGGGGGGCAAACAGGAUUAGAUACCCUGGUAGUCCCAGCCGUAAACGGUGCGCACUUGGUGUUGGAGGGAUUGACCCUUUCAGUGCCGGAGCUAACGCGUUAAGUGCGCCGCCUGGGGAGUACGGCCGCAAGGUUAAAACUCAAAGAAAUUGACGGGGGCCCGCACAAGCGGAGGAGCAUGUGGCUUAAUUCGAUGCAACGCGAAGAACCUUACCUGGGCUUGACAUGAUACUGCACGCUUCCCGAAAGGGAGGAAGCCUUCGAGGGUGUAUCACAGGUGCUGCAUGGCUGUCGUCAGUUCGUGCCGUGAGGUGUUGGGUUAAGUCCCGCAACGAACGCAACCCUUGUGUUUAGUUGCCACCGGUGGUGAUGAGCCGCCGAGCACUCUAAACAGACUGCCCGUGUAAGCGGGAGGAAGGUGGGGAUGACGUCAAGUCAGUAUGGCCCUUACGCCCAGGGCUGCACACGUGCUACAAUGGUCGGUACAAUAGGAUGCAAUACCGCGAGGUUGAGCAAAUCCAGAAAAUCGGCCCCAGUUCGGAUUGGAGUCUGCAACUCGACUCCAUGAAGUUGGAUUCGCUAGUAACGGCGCAUCAGCUACGGCGCCGUGAAUACGUUCCCGGGCCUUGUACACACCGCCCGUCACAUCAUGAAAGCCGUCUGCACCCGAAGUCGUUGAUCUAACCCGCAAGGGAGGAAGACGCCGAAGGUGUGGGUGGUGAUUGGGAUGAAGUCGUAACAAGGUA
rnacentral:rRNA from 1 species